rnacentral:rRNA from 1 species
UGGGAACGUACCUUUCGGUUCGGGAUAACCCAGGGAAACUUGGGCUAAUACCGGAUACGUCCUUAGGGAGAAAGAUUGAUUUGCCGAGAGAUCGGCCCGCGUCUGAUUAGCUAGUUGGUGAGGUAAAGGCUCACCAAGGCGACGAUCAGUAGCUGGUCUGAGAGGAUGAUCAGCCACACUGGGACUGAGACACGGCCCAGACUCCUACGGGAGGCAG